rnacentral:rRNA from 1 species
UACGAAGGGGGCUAGCGUUGUUCGGAAUUACUGGGCGUAAAGCGAGUGUAGGCGGUUUGGUAAGUCGGAUGUGAAAGCCCCGGGCUCAACCCGGGAAGUGCACUCGAUACUGCCAAGCUAGAGUAUCGGAGAGGUUGGUGGAAUUCUCGGUGUAGAGGUGAAAUUCGUAGAUAUCGAGAGGAACACCGGUGGCGAAGGCGGCCAACUGGACGAAUACUGACGCUGAGACUCGAAAGCGUGGGGAGCAAACAGG